rnacentral:rRNA from 1 species
AUUGAACGCUGGCGGAAUGCUUUACACAUGCAAGUCGAACGGUAGAGGGGGCAACCCCUUGAGAGUGGCGAACGGGUGAGUAAUAUAUCGGAACGUGCCCAGUCGUGGGGAUAACGUAGCGAAAGUUACGCUAAUACCGCAUACGAUCUACGGAUGAAAGCGGGGGACUCGCAAGAGCCUCGCGCGAUUGGGAGCGGCCGAUAUCAGAUUAGGUAGUUGGUGGGGUAAAGGCUCACCAAGCCAACGAUCUGUAGCUGGUCUGAGAGGACGACCAGCCACACUGGAACUGAGACACGGUCCAGACUCCUACGGGAGGCAGCAGUGGGGAAUAUUGGGACAAUGGGCGCAAGCCUGAUCCAGCCAUGCCGCGUGUGUGAGAAGGCCUCGGGUUGGUAAGUACGACUUUCUAGUACGA